rnacentral:rRNA from 1 species
UACGAAGGGGGCUAGCGUUGCUCGGAAUGACUGGGCGUAAAGGGCGCGUAGGCGGAUGGCACAGUCAGAUGUGAAAUUCCCGGGCUUAACCUGGGGGCUGCAUUUGAUACGUGUUGUCUUGAGUUCGGAAGAGGGUCGUGGAAUUCCCAGUGUAGAGGUGAAAUUCGUAGAUAUUGGGAAGAACACCGGUGGCGAAGGCGGCGACCUGGUCCGACACUGACGCUGAGGCGCGAAAGCUAGGGGAGCAACAGG